rnacentral:rRNA from 1 species
GAUGAACGCUGGCGGCGUGCCUAACACAUGCAAGUCGUACGAGCUCGAUCUUCGGAACGGGUUAGUGGCGCACGGUGAGUAACACGUAGGUGACCUACCCCAGAGUGGGGGAUAACUUCUCGAAAGAGAGGCUAAUACCGCAUACACUCGGUCAUUCAUUUGGCCGAGCAAAGCUCCGGCGCUUUGGGACGGGCCUGCGUCCGAUUAGCUAGUUGGUAGGGUAAUGGCUUACCAAGGCUUUGAUCGGUAGCUGGUCUGAGAGGACGAUCAGCCACACUGGCACUGACACACGGGCCAGACUCCUACGGGAGGCAGCAGUGAGGAAUAUUGGGCAAUGGGCGAAAGCCUGACCCAGCAACGCCGCGUGAGGGAUGAAGGCCUUCGGGUUGUAAACCUCUUUCUGGGAGAAGAGACAAGGACGGUAUCCCAGGAAUAAGUCUCGGCUAACUACGUGCCAGCAGCCGCGGU